AUAAGUGCUCGUCCAUCUUUUUAUAUACGCUAUUAGUGCUGGUUGAUAGAAAUUGACGAAAUGCAAAAUGACAGGCCAUGAUGAAAGAUCCAUUUGCAAAUUAUGUUGUACAGAAGGUUCUAGAAACGUGUGAUGAUCAGAGCCGUGAGUUGAUCUUGUCUCGCAUCAAGGUCCAUUUGAAUGCGCUGAAGAGAUACACUUACGGUAAACAUAUUGUUGCACGUGUUGAAAAGCUCAUCACAGCUGGAGAAAGGCGCAUAGGGAUUUCAUCUUCAUAUUCUUCUUGAGGAGUCCUUUUGGGCAGUAAAAGGGCAGGCAUCCUUGUACAGCUAACAAGGCAGGUCAUCUUAGCGUAUCAUCCCAAGUCUUUAUUUUCUUCCGAGAAUGUGUCGGAAACCACCAGAGUUAUUAGAGUUUAGUGGUAGAAGAGUAUAAAUGAGCUUAUAAUGGUUGUAAAUAAAGGGAAAAAAAAUAUAGGCUCACUGUAAUAAGAUUUUGGUUCUCUCCCCAACCCUCCCAAACAUGUAUAUUCGGCACAUUAUUGUAAUUUGAUGACGAAGAGAACAUCUAUGAGGAGGUCAUACGUAGGUUGUUUAGGCAAUCGAGGUUAGAGGCAGAAUGAUCCUUGGGAGACAAAUGUACAAUGUCCACAAGAAUCUGUAAAGAAAUUUGCUUGGGUGUAAUCGUUAAUGGAACUGUAAAGAAAGAAAGGGAACAGUGUAUCUAUGAGGAGGGUCAGCUGUCAGGUCCUUAGUCUUUUCGACUGUGGGAGAUUUUAUCAAUAAAUAUUCUCACCUCUUCCU